rnacentral:misc_RNA from 1 species
GCCAAUCGCAGCGCUUCCAGGAAGCAAAAUAGGAGUCGGUUCAGGACGUCUCCGCGGACGGGAACAGCUGAUUACUGUUACGUGAGGACGCCCACUCGUGGUCUGCGCCUUAUCACUGUGCAUUUGAAGUAAACAGCAUUUUGCACUGACCAAUUAUGGCUCAAGGAAGAGCACUACAUUUUGUCUUUAAAAUCGGUGACAGAAAAGCAGCAGCAAAAUUUUACAGAGACAUACUGGGAAUGAGGGUAUUGCGACAUGAAGAGUUUGAGGAAGGAUGUAAGGCUACUUGUAAUGGGCCUUAUGAUGGUAAAUGGAGCAAAACAAUGAUUGGAUAUGGGCCAGAAGAUAACCACUUUGUGUGUGAACUUACCUACAACUAUGGAGUCUCAACCUAUGAAAAUGGUAAUGACUUCCUGGGUAUGUAUAUUCAGUCGUCUGAAGCAUUAACAAGAGCCGAGAAAGCAGGCUGGCCAAUUCAGAUAGAAGAACAACAAAGUGUGUUAGUGGCUCCUGAUGGUUAUAAGUUCUACAUUACAAAUAAACCACAGCCAACAGACAGGGAUCCAGUGCAGCAAGUGGUUUUAGCUAGUAGUAAACUAGAAGCUUCAGUUCAUUACUGGAGCAACUUAGCAGGAUUAACCAUCUAUGGAAAAGACAAUAAUGAAGCUACUUUUGGUUUUCAUGAAGACCAGGCAAAAUUAGUCCUUCGUGAUAUAGGUAUUCCUGUAAACCAUGCAAAGGCUUUUGGCCGCAUUGCAUUUGCUGUUCCUGGGGGUAGUCUUCUUGGAACUGAAGAAAAGAUGAAAGACGCAGGUCAGAAAAUCAUCACACCUUAUGUAUCUUUGGAUACUCCAGGGAAAGCAACAGUACAAGUUGUUAUUCUUGCAGAUCCUUCUUGUAAAAUUGCUCUUGGUACUGUAGCAGCCAUGACCCACAACCAGCACAACUCACACUCGGCAUACUUUGCAAGUUGGAUCAUGCCACAUCCAACAUUGGUCACCAGCAGGCACAUUUUGUGACUCACUGCUGAAUCCUGACUGGUUGACACCUGACACCUUCUUAUGGCUCAUGGAUUGGACUGCUCAAGAAGGCACCCUUUUUUCUGAUGUCCUGACACAGCUCCUGGCCUAAUUAAGGUCUUGGAUUCAGAAUGGAGAACAAGAAUCACACUUCAGACACACCUCACCUUAGCAGUAGCAACAUGUAACAGCCUGGUCUUUUGCCACCUGGGGAUCUUCCCCAGCUUCACCUACAGAAACCAACCAUUACAGUAGGAACCAACACCCACGAUGGCCAUGAAAUCUGUUUUGUUGGUGAUGAAGGUUUCCGUGAAUUAUCCCAAGUGGAUUUGAAUGCAGAUAAACUCCUCAGUGAAGCAAUGGAAAAAGACAAGUCUGAUGAAUGG